CCGAUCAAGAGAAAAAGUUGGUGCAAUUGCAAUAUCAAAAUAUAAAGCAAAGUUGCAAUUGCAAUAUCAAAAUAUAAAGCAAACUACUUUAUUGUUCUAAAAGUAGAAAUUUCACAUUUAGUUAAACCUACCAGAGGACCCAUUCAUGUUCAAAAGUUAAAAGCUUUGAAAACGGAGAAAGAUUAUAUGAAAGAGUAGUGACCUUACACCAAACAGUUUCAUAUCAAAUGCUCAAGCAUGGUUUUCAAGAAAAUGACUCAGGAGAUUUGAUUUGAUCUCUCUGUUCUUCAACUGCCGCAGAUACUCAACCAUAAGAGCUUACAGAAGCUUGCGUUAUGGUAAGCCUUAUGCUACAUACCUGGAAUCCUGUAAACAUCACACUCGGGUCACAUGUCUGGGUCAAGGAUCCAUAACUUGCAUGGACUAAUCGAGAAGUGACAGAAAUCAAAGGCACUAAUGCAACAAUACUCACUGCAGAUGGGAAAACAAUUGUUGCUAGUAUCUCUAGCCUCUAUCCAAAGAAUACAGAGGCGCCACCUGCAGGAGUUGAUGACAUGACUAAACUGGCUUACCUCCAUCAGCCAGAGGUCCUCCACAAUCUUGCUUGCUGGUUAUCACUAAAUGAGAUAUAUACUUAAAAUGGAAACAUCUUGAUUGCUGUGAAUCCAUUCCAAAGACCUCCACAUUUGUAUAGCGUCCAUAUGAUGGAGCAGUAUAAAGGAGCUGCGUUUGGAGAGCUAAGCCCACAUCUGUUUGCCGGUUGCAGACACCAGUUAUAGGUAACAAGUUGUUAAUCAACGAAUAGAAAAUUACUGUAUUAGCUAACGCUUUCCAUGUAUGCCAAGGCGAUGAUAAAUGAGGCAAAGAGCAAGUCUAUUUUGGUUAGUGGAGAGAGUGGAGCUGGGAAGACGGAGACAACCAAAAAGCUCAUGAGAUAUCUUGCAUUCAUGGGAGGCAGAUAAGAUACAUAAGAGAGAAAAGUGUUCGACAAGUUGUUCUAGAGGUGAGUAUUACUUGCUCUGUUUAUUUUUAAAUGACUAGGAGAUUUUGGGCCUGGGGCUAGGCAUAUUCCA